rnacentral:tRNA from 1 species
GGGGGUAUAGCUCAGUGGUAGAGCGUGUGCUUAGCGUGCAUGAGGUCCUGGGUUCAAUCCUCAGUGCCUCCA